UUACACUGGUUCCUGUCAGAUCGCUGAAGUUAAGCAAUAUUGAGCCUGGUCAGUACCUAGAUGGGUGACCAUUUGGGAAUAUCAGGUGCUGUAAG